UCUGGUGUCGAUGCGCCUAGGGGACACACCCGUUCCCAUCCCGAACACGAUGGUUAAGACCUAGGCGGCCGAUGGUACUAUACUGGUGACGGUAUG
rnacentral:rRNA from 1 species